GACGUAGGGCGCGAGCGUUGUCCGGAUUUAUUGGGCGUAAAGAGCUCGUAGGCGGCUUGUCGCGUCGUCCGUGAAAACCUGCAGCUCAACUGCAGGCUUGCGGUCGAUACGGGCAGGCUGGAGUUCGGUAGGGGAGACUGGAAUUCCUGGUGUAGCGGUGAAAUGCGCAGAUAUCUGGAGGAACACCGGUGGCGAAGGCGGCAUCCUGGACCGGUAUUGACGCUGAGGCGCGAAAGCUAGGGGAGCAAACGGG
rnacentral:rRNA from 1 species